rnacentral:tRNA from 1 species
GUUCCUGUAGUUAAAUUUGAUAACGAUGGCUUUUCAUGCCAUUGAUCUUGGAGAAAAGCCAAGUGGGAAUU